rnacentral:rRNA from 1 species
UUUAAUUCGAAGCAACGCGAAGACCUUACCAGGUCUUGACAUCCGAUGCUAUUUCUAGAGAUAGAAAGUUACUUCGGUACAUCGGUGACAGGUGGUGCAUGGUUGUCGUCAGCUCGUGUCGUGAGAUGUUGGGUUAAGUCCCGCAACGAGCGCAACCCCUACGUUUAGUUGCUUAACAGGUGAAGCUGAGCACUCUAGACGAACUGCCGUUAAUAAACCGGAGGAAGGUGGGAUGACGUCAAAUCAUCAUGCCCCUUAUGACCUGGGCUACACACGUGCUACAAUGGUUGGUACAACGAGUUGCGAGUCGGUGACGGCGAGCUAAUCUCUUAAAGCCAAUCUCAGUUCGGAUUGUAGGCUGCAACUCGCCUACAUGAAGUCGGAAUCGCUAGUAAUCGCGGAUCAGCACGCCGCGGUGAAUACGUUCCCGGGCCUU